rnacentral:rRNA from 1 species
UACAGGGGGGGCGAGCGUUAUUUAACUCAAUUGGGCGUAAAGGGUACGUAGGCGGUUUCAUACGUUUGUUUAGAAAUACUGGAAAUUUGACUCUUACAGAGGAUAAACAAACACGUGUUAGAACUUGAGUAAUUUAGUCGUUAUUGGAAUUUUCGGAGGAGGGCUGAAAUGCUAAGAAACCCUAAGGAACGCCGCAAGUGAAAGUGUAUGACGUUAAUUUACUGACGCUAAGGUACGAAGGCAUUGGUAG